UAAUACCCCAUAGAUAUUCAAUGCUGGAAGGCUUGGAUAUCGAAAGCGCAAGCGCCAGAGGGUGAGUCUGCGGCCUAUCAGGUAGUAGGUGGUGUAACGGACCACCUAGCCUAAGACGGGUACGGGCCUUGAGAGAGGGAGCCCGGAGAUGGGUUCUGAGACACGAACCCAGGCCCUACGGGGCGCAGCAGGCGCGAAACCUUCGCACUGCGCGAAAGCGCGACGAGGGGAGCCCGAGUGCCUCUCCAUUUCGGGGAGGCUUUUCACAAGCCUAAAAAGCUUGUGGAAUAAGGGCUGGGCAAGACGGGUGCCAGCCGCCGCGGUAAUACCCGCAGCUCGAGUGGUGGUCGCUUUUAUUGAGCCUAAAACGUUCGUAGUCGGCCUUGUAAAUCCCUGGGUAAAUCGGACCGCUUAACGGUUCGAAUUCCGGGGAGACUGCAAGGCUAGGGACCGGGCGAGGUCAGAGGUACUUUCGGGGUAGGAGUGAAAUCCUGUAAUCCCGAAGGGACCACCUGUGGCGAAAGCGUCUGACUUGAACGGCUCCGACGAUGAGGAACGAAGGCUAGGGGAGCAAACCGGAUUAGAUACCCGGGUAGUCCUAGCUGUAAACUCUGCCCGCUUGGUGUGGCCUGUCCUUCGGGGGCAGGCUGUGCCGGAGCGAAGGUGUUAAGCGGGCUGCUUGGGGAGUACGGCCGCAAGGUUGAAACUUAAAGGAAUUGGCGGGGGAACACCGCAACGGGAGGAUGCGUGCGGUUUAAUGGAUCAACGCCGGAAA
rnacentral:rRNA from 1 species